GCUAGGAAGGGGAAGAAUGAGAGGGUCCAAGAGUAGCAAGAAUGGGAACAUUGAGGAAAACAUGAGAUUCUAGAUUUCCUCUCCCAACAAAGAAGAGAUCUAGCUCCGUGUUUUUUCAAUGCCUCCCAUUCCUAUUGUUCUUGGAUGCUCCUUCCCCUUCCUUUUGUCU
rnacentral:pre_miRNA from 1 species